rnacentral:tRNA from 1 species
UUUAUAUACAAUAAUCGAAUUGUAGCGGGUAUAG